rnacentral:rRNA from 1 species
UACAGAGGGUGCAAGCGUUAAUCGGAAUUACUGGGCGUAAAGCGUGCGUAGACGGUUAUGUAAGUCAGGUGUGAAAGCCCCGGGCUCAACCUGGGAAUUGCAUUUGAGACUGCAUAGCUAGGGUGCGGAAGAGGGAAGCGGAAGUUUCCGGUGUGAGCGGUGAAAUGCGUAGAUAUGCGGGAGAACACCGAUGGCGAAGGCAAUCCCCUGGACCUGUACUGACGCUCAUGCACGAAAGCGUGGGGAGCAAACAGG